rnacentral:rRNA from 1 species
UACGGGGGGAGCAAGCGUUGUUCGGAUUUACUGGGCGUAAAGGGCGCGUAGGCGGCCACCGCAAGUCAGUUGUGAAAUCUCUGGGCUUAACCCAGAAAGGUCAACUGAUACUGCGGGGCUAGAGUGCAGAAGGGGCAACUGGAAUUCUCGGUGUAGCGGUGAAAUGCGUAGAUAUCGGAAGGAACACCAAUGGCGAAGGCAGCCGCCUGGGCCUGAUCUGACACUGAGACACGAAAGCGUGGGGAUCAAACAGG